UGCCCAGCGAUGACCUCUCUAACAAGGUGCAGAGCUUAGCUGAUUGGUGAACAGUGAUUGGUUUCCGCUUUGUUCACAGUGGCUAAGUUCUGCACCUGAAGAGAAGGUGAGAUGGGGACAGUU
rnacentral:pre_miRNA from 1 species